GAAUUUAAGCAUAUAAUUAAGCGGAGGAAAAGAAACUAACCAGGAUUCCCUCAGUAAGGGCGACUGAAGCGGGAAGAGCUCAGGAUGUGAAUCUGCGCCUUGGUGCGCCGAAUUGUGGUCUGUCGACGGUGGCAUUACUGGCCGGGCCAAGUCCUUUGGAACAAGGCAGCUGAGAGGGUGAGACUCCCGUCCGCCUGGCUAGGUGAGCCACUAGUCUACGAGUCGAGUUGUUUGGGAUUGCAGCUCCAAGUGGGUGGUAAAUUCCAUCUAAAGCUAAAUAUUGGUGGGAGACCGAUAGCGUACAAGUACCGUGAGGGAAAGAUGCAAAGAACUUUGAAAAGAGAGUUAAAGAGUACCUGAAAUUGCUGAAAGGGAAGCGAAGGAAACCAGUGUCGGCUCAGUCAUAUUUCCCUGUCCGCUUGCGGUUUGGGCGCUGUGUCUGGCCUGUGUUGUCCUUGGUUGGGUCUGCUGGAAGAGCGCGGUGAGAGUUGAUCUCCGUUGCUAGCAGCGGGUCUGACUGAGGAGGACGAAAUGGUUUUCUUUACCCCGUCUUGAAACACGGACCAAGGA
rnacentral:rRNA from 1 species